rnacentral:tRNA from 3 species
GGCUCUGUAGCUCAGUCGGUAGAGCAACGGACUGAAAAUCCGUGUGUCGGCGGUUCAAUUCCGCCCGGAGCCACCA